CAAGAUGACACUGGAAAUAUGCAUAGUUCACACUGAACUCUCCAUGUUGAGAAACAUUCAUCAUGUCUUUCGCUCCUAUCUGAUCCUCCUC
rnacentral:snoRNA from 1 species